GACGAACGCUGGCGGCGUGCUUAACACAUGCAAGUCGAGCGGUAAGGCCCUUUCGGGGGUACACGAGCGGCGAACGGGUGAGUAACACGUGGGUGACCUGCCCUCAGCUCUGGGAUAAGCCUGGGAAACUGGGUCUAAUACUGGAUAUGACUCCACGGUGCAUGUCGUGGGGUGGAAAGCCUUGUGCGGCUGAGGAUGGGCCCGCGGCCUAUCAGCUUGUUGGUGGGGUGAGGCCUACCAAGGCGACGACGGGUAGCCGGCCUGAGAGGGCGACCGGCCACACUGGGACUGAGACACGGCCCAGACUCCGUACGGGGGCAGCAGGUGGGGAAUCUUGCGCAAUGGGCGAAAGCCUGACGCAGCGACGCCGCGUGAGGGAUGACGGCCUGG
rnacentral:rRNA from 1 species